AGACUAAGCCAUGCAUGUGCAAGUAUAAACGCUUGAACCGUGAGACUGCGAAUGGCUCAUUAAAUCAGUUAUAGUUUAUUUGAUGGUGUUUACUACGUGGAUAACCGUGGUAAUUCUAGAGCUAAUACAUGCAAAAGGUCCCGACUUUUGGAAGGGACGUAUUUAUUAGAUCCAAAACCAAUGCGGGUGUCGCUGCCUCGGUGGUGCCCCGGUCUCUUGGUGAUUCAUAGUAACUUCUCGAAUCGCUUGGCCCCCGCGCCGGCGAUGGUUCAUUCAAGUUUCUGCCCUAUCAACUUUCGAUGGUAGGGUAUUGGCCUACCAUGGUUGCAACGGGUGACGGAGAAUUAGGGUUCGAUUCCGGAGAGGGAGCCUGAGAAACGGCUACCACAUCCAAGGAAGGCAGCAGGCGCGCAAAUUACCCAAUCCCGACUCGGGGAGGUAGUGACAAUAAAUAACAAUGCCGGUCCCUAUAGUGGUCCGGCAAUUGGAAUGAGUACAAUCCAAAUCCCUUAACGAGGAACAAUUGGAGGGCAAGUCUGGUGCCAGCAGCCGCGGUAAUUCCAGCUCCAAUAGCGUAUAUUAAAGUUGUUGCAGUUAAAAAGCUCGUAGUUGGAUUUCGGGGCCCCGGGCGUUCGUUGCGUUUCCUGCCGGCUUGUCUUGUGGGUGCGUGGCGGGCGUCGGUCUCUGAGUCGGAUCGGUCCGCCGAGAGGCGUGUACUGACCGACGGCCCCUGUUGUCUCUCGGGUUGCCCGCCUGCACUUAACUGUUGCGGACGGGGAGUUCGGGACGUUUACUUUGAACAAAUUAGAGUGUUCCAAGCAGGCCGAUUGCUUUGAAUACAUUAGCAUGGAAUAAUGGAAUAGGGCUGCGUGACUCUUCGUCUUCGGGCGGGGGGUCCUCGUGUCCUAUUUUGUUGGUUUUCGGGACCGCAGUCAUGGUCAAGAGGGACAGUUGGGGGCAUUCGUAUUCAGUUGUCAGAGGUGAAAUUCUUGGAUUUACGGAAGACGAACAACUGCGAAAGCAUUUGCCAAGGAUGUUUUCAUUAAUCAAGAACGAAAGUUGGGGGUCA
rnacentral:rRNA from 1 species